UCUCAUUCAUGAUGGGGUUGUGUGGGUUGAUCUAUAUUAUCUUCUCGCUGGACAUAUAUCUGCGUAUGCUAGAACCAUUUAGAGCUUUAGCCUUCAAAAGUCUCCCCAUGUAGGAGUAAUAAAACACCACCGAGAUCCAUGACAUGAUUAAAAACAACGACCUUGUCUUCACGCACACCCUUAAUAACCCCCCUGCAAACCUUUUUACUUAUGCUUCAAUAUCAUCUAACCAUGAAGAGAACCCUAUAGCCCUUCUCCAUCCCAACUAAUUUAGGUGUUUUAGCUAUAUGCGGAUAAAAAAAGUCAAACAUAGUCAUAAAAUCUAGGCAAUUAACACCUGCAAUUUCAAGACAUAGACAAUUGAGUUGGCUUGAAUUAAGGUUGAACUAUGGUAAAACAUGAUUGAAUUAAAUAAUUACGUUUUUGUCAAUAAAAUUCAAGUAGCAAAAUAAAAUAACGAAUGAAGAACUCCUUAGAAUAACUUAAGGUACCACAAAAACCUGUAGCACAACUUUUGAAGUUAUUGCUUAGAAGUUUCUGGAAUACCAGAGACUUCAAUGUUAAGUCAAUUUCUAUCAUAACAUAAUAUUUUACAUGUGAUUUCAUAUUUGAUGUUGGUCAUUUUUUAUCUGUAACAUAUUGCGUACAUGUGAAAUCACAUAAUCACCCGUUCAAAAUAUAUAAUGCUCCGCACAAAUUUGAUGCUAAGUUAAUUACUCUAGCUUCAAGUAUAGCUCUUUUAGUAAAGAAAUUUCACCUAUUUAUGACAUUUUUUUUCUUGCUCUCAUAAAUACCAUAAUUCCUUCAUAUUUUGGUAGUGAAAGUCAAGGGAUGCUGAUAAAGCCCUUUACGUAGUAGAAACUAAAUAAAAGGAGAGCUUCUAGUGAAUCACCAUCAACGUCAGGCCUCUAACGCUUGAUGAAUUAACCUAAGUUAUUAUAGGACAAUCCAAAUAAUGUGACAUAAAAAAAAAUUCCGCACUAUGAUAGUAAAUUGAUUUGAGCAAGUCACUUAAUUGAUUGACACUUUUAAACUUGGUAACCUACUCCACACAUUCACAACUAUCUUUGCAACAAGUUUUUUUGGUAAAGCUCUGCAAGACUAUGCUGCAAAAUCCGAUGAUAAAGCAUUCCACAUACCAUCAGUGCCUAUUAUAAGCCUUCCCCAGCAUCAGCAUCAGCAUCAGCAUCUGAAUUGCUACUAAAAGAAAGAAAGAAAUAUCUCGUUCAGGAAGCUGGUACCAGCAAGCCCAUCCUAUUCCAAGCUCCAUUCAUCUCUUCUUCUAUGGUUCAGAUUCAUUCUCUUUAAGUUGUUUUUCAAUUUCUACAGUUGAUUAAUUCAUUCAAAAGCAUCAACUACUAACAGUAUCUACAGAGAUGAUGAGUAAACCAAGUAUAUCACAAAAGAGCCUUUUUUUAAUAAGAUGCACGAAGAGAAUCUAUCCUAAUUAAUAAAUAUUAACAAGAGAUAACUUGAAGCUCCUAACACCAUGUAAUUAGAGUCAUCGUCAGUUUCUUCUUUUGAGAUCUAGGUAUUUAAUCCGUAGUGAUAUGAAGAUUAAAUUCUGAAAUAAAAGCAAAAAAAUAUUUACUAAUUUUUUAGAAGUAAAUACGCUACCUUUUGGUUUAAUGAAUGAUAGUUGUGUAUAUUGCAGAAUACCUAUGGUAACAGAAAAGGAUAAAAAAAAUUCACUUGUUUCAGUCAUAUCAUCAAAUGCCUUGACUGCACUAAAAAUCUUUUAUGUUCUAUUACUAUUGUCGGACAAUAAUCACAUUCACGUAUGGAAUACACAAAAAAGAUGAAAAACUCAAUAAGCAGAAAGAUUCCAAUAUGAGUAAUCUCAGAGAAAAUAGAAUCACAAUUCUACUACUAAGUUCAUCCUCAAAGAACCCAUUUACUCUCAAAACAAUAUUAUACAACUAACACCAGAAAUAACAGUAUAUCACAAAUAUGCAUUUAUGUAGCUAUUUUCAAACAUCAAAUAAGAUACAACUACUGAAUGUAGGUAAUGUGCCGAGGGUAAACUAGUAAAAGAAGAGUUUAAAAGUUGUUAGCGACGUGGACGGAUCAGAUUAAUUUCAACCAAGGGCUGAUAUCAAAUCCAUUAGAAUAUAUGAGACUAUCUCAGUGCAGGAGGGGUUUCAACGAAUUUGGCAUGUCUCCUCUCUCUAUUUUGUGCUCUCUCUCUAUAUAUAUAUCUCUCUGUACUUCCUAUCUCCUCUAAAUAUGAACCUUUCUUCUCUCAUAAAUUCUUCUUUUCUCUAUCAAAUUCUGAAGCAAUCCACUUUAAUAUAACAAUAGCCAAUUUCUUAUUACCUAUGCUAAGAGCUGCCUAUUGAACUCUAUUUCAGGUAUUUUUCUGGUUAUUCAAUUGAUUUCUCGGAGUUGAAUCAAGUCGAGUGUUGCUGAUUAAUCCUAGUUUAUGUUUUAGAUUUUUGUUGAAAUCGAACUCGUAAACUCAAUUCCAGCUUAAUUGUAAUUGUCUGAGCACUUGUGGCAUUCCUGAAGCUUAUGAAUGAUAAUUGUGACUCUUGAGUUGCGGAGAUUUGUUUGAAAUUCCUAUUUUGUCUAUUUGUAAUUGUUGAGCACAUAACAAAUUGGUAUCAGAGCGACGAUUUUGAUUAUACAUGUGGGAAAAUGACUGGGGCUGAAGCUACUAGAUCGAAGCAGACCGAAGAACAAUAGAUGAAAAGGCUAGAUGGUCAGAUUCAAUCCAAUAAGUUAGAAACUGAUUCCAAGCUUAAUGCUAUAGAUUAAAAACUAGCUGAGAUGAGUUCUACUUGGCUGGGUAUGAAGCAGCUGAUGGAGGAAACACAUACGGCGCUAAUGAAGUUGAUUGAGAGGGGAAAUGGGAAAUCAUCAUUCGACGAAGAGGAGAGUAGUAAGGGUGAUGGGUUGUUACCUAAGCCUAGAGGUAUUGACUAUGGAGAAGGGAAUGCAAACAGAGCUGGGGACAAUUUCCCUCCUAAGCUGCAAUUUCGGAUAUAUAGUGGAGCUGAACCUAGAUCUUGGUUGAGGAGGUGUGAGAGGUAUUUUAGGGUCUAUAAGAUUACUGAUACAACAAAAAAGUUGGAGAUGACCACCUUGCACUUAGAAGGGGAAGUUGAGGCAUGGUAUUUCUCUUUCACUCUCACUAAAAGAUAAGUGAAGUGGGAAGAAUUAUGUGAAGAGCUAGUUUUAUGACGCUAAUGGUGACAGGAUGGUGAAUGACUUUAAAAUGCUGGUUCAGACUAGCACCGUGAAUGCCUAUUUGCAAAAAUUUGAGGACCUUAGAGCCUUAGUGCUAAUGAGAAACCCCAGGGUACCGGAAAAUUUUUGUUGGAAUGUUUCAUUGCGGGGCUUAAGGAGGAAAUUAGCGAGACAGUGAUGAUGCAUGAUCCCUAUUCUUUAUCUCAGGCUGUCUUUUGCCAGGAAACAAGAGAGGAUCAUUAAUACUAGGGAGAGGAAGAAUAAGUGGCUGCAUAAGGGCACUAUUGCUCCAGUUAACCAAGAAAUGAGCAGGACUAACUUCAAUCCAAGAAGACCCCCAGACAUGACUUUUUUUUUUUUUGAUGAAGUAAUAUAUUGUAUUAAAGGCAUCAAGAAGAUGCAAAAGAUUACAAUAGAGAGCUUAGCUAACUGGUUAGGACAAAAAACCUAUUCUAGAGCCUUAAGUUUACCAAGCGCAAAAAUCAGUGGUUACUAAACCAUUGAGAGAGAGCUAAUGACCCCCAGACAUGACUGUUAAACCAGAGGAAACAAGAUUUCAGGAAAAUUCCGGGAGCCUGUUGGAAAUGUGGUGACAGAUAUUACCCUGGCCAUAUUUGCAAAGAUAAACAACUCAAUACCAUGACGGCAGAGGUGGAAGAACAAGAAGGGGGAGGUCAAGAAGAGAUACAAGAAAUGGAAGAAGUUACUCAAGAAUUGGAGGAGGGGGAAGAGGAAGCAGUAUGCUUAAAUGCCAUGACAGGAACCCCUGAACCUAACACCUUUAAGCUUAGAGGACUGAUUAAGAAGAGAGUUGUAAUCAUAUUAGUAGACUCUGGCAGCACUCAUAGUUUCUUGGACAGUCAGACAGCCAAGGAACUAGGAGUGAUAGCACAGAUGGACCGACCAUUGAGAGUGACAGUUGCAAAUGGACAACAAAUGUAUAGUCACCAGAGUGUAACCAAGGUUAGAUGGGAGGCUAGUGGAAUUGAGUUUGAGGAUAAGUUCCGGUUGUUGAAUAUAGGCAGCUGUGAUAUAGGGUUGGGGGUGACUGGAUGAGGGCUCAUACUCCAAUUACUUUUGAUUAUGAACCUUACAUACUCAGAUUAAGACAAUUUUAAAAAAAUGGUGGAUCUGAAGGGUGAUACAGGGCAAGGAGAGAUGCACCAGAUCACAGCUAAGUCAAUGGGCAAGUUACUGAAGAAGGGAAAGGCCCUCCUAGCACAUUUGUUCACUAUGGAGGGUAAAGAAGAUGAGACCAACGAGGAGGUACCAGAAGAAGUACAGCAGGUUCUAGAGUCUUAUGCUUCUGUAUUUGAGGAAUCAAAAUCACUACCACCCUCAAGAGACUAUCACCAUGCCAUUCCCAUUGUUCCAGGGGCCAAGCUAGUUUCACUCAGUCCCUACAGGUCACUGGGGACCGGAGGCCGAAGAAGUUUUCAAUCAAUUGAAACGGGCUAUGAGCAACACUUCUGUACUGGCUAUGCCAGACUAUACUCAAAACCUUUGUCAUUGAGACUAAUGCUAGCUAUCUGGGAAUUGGAUCUGUGCUGACUCAAGAAAAUAAAACCAUCACAUACUAUAGCAAGGCCUUGGCUCCAAGGCACCUGGGCAAAUCAGUGUAUGAAAAGGAGCGCAUCCAUAGACAAGUGGAGGCAUUAUGUACAAGGAGGGCACUUUAUAAUUUCAUUUCAGUCUCAAAUACUUGAUGGAGCAGAAAGUAACCACAACCAUUCAACAGAAAGGCCUAACCCAGUUAUUGGGAUUUGACUAUGAAAUACAAUACAGGAAGGGGCUGAAAAUAGAGUGGCAGAUGCACUAUCCAGGGUCCUAGAUGAGCAAGGAGAGGUAAAUGCUUUCUGGUGUGCAAUCUGUGUGGCGGGAAGAGAUAGAGAGAAGUUAUCAAAAUGACAACCGAGCUCAAGAUUUUAUUACUGCUGUAACAGUCAACCCAACUGCACACCCGGACUAUAGCUUGGUUGCAGGAGUUUUUAAGUUCAAAGGAAAGGUGUAUGUUGGUAAAACCACGGCCUUAAGGCAACAAAUUCUAUAGACCAUGCAUUCCUCUGCUAUGGGAGGUCACUCUGGCCAAUAAGGCACCUUGAAGAGACUGCAGUUAUACUUUUAGAGGUGCAAGAGUUUGUAACUAGGUGUGAUAUAUGUCAGAGAUGCAAGGAUGAAACUGUGGCCAAUCCAGGAUUACUACAACCUUUGGAGAUCCCUACUCAAUCUUGGACGGACAUCAGCUUAGAUUUCAUAGAAGGUCUGCCAAAGUCCCAAAGAAAGGAUGUAAUAUUAGUAGUGGAUAGAUUCACUAAAUAUGCACACUUUCUGGCCUUACAACAUCCCAAUACAGCCGCUCAAGUGGCAGAGUUAUUCAUCAAAGAAAUAUAUAAGCUCCAUGGUCUUCCAAAUACCAUGGUCUUAGAUAGGGAGAAGGUUUUUACUAGUGUCUUCUGGCAACAUUUAUUCAAGGCAGCUGGAACUACACUAUGUAUGAGCACAGCCUAUCAUCUAGAGUCAGAUGGCAAGACAGAAAGACUUAACAUGUGCUUAGAAGUAUAUCCUAGAGCCAUGACUAUGAGCAAACCAAAAAUGUGGGCAAACUGGUUGCAUCUGGCUGAGUGGUGGUACAACACUAACUAUCAUACAUCCUUGCAAAGCACUCCAUUUCAAGCAUUUUACGAUUAUGACCCCCCAAAUGGGGCCACUACUGCAGACUCCAGUGCAAGCUGUCCAGGAUUUGAUUCAGGAGAGGAUUCAAUUCUAGUAGGUUCUUAAAGACCAUCUCACCCAAGCUCAAGCUAGGAUGAAAUUGUAUGCUGACCAAAGGAGAACUGAAAGACAAUUAAAAGUGGGGGAUUGGGUCUAUCUCAAAUUGCAAUCAGGAGGCAACUCAAAUUAUGUCCUAAGUAUUAUGGACCUUAUCUAGUGGAGCAGAAGAUAGGAACUGUGGCCUACAACAAGCUCAAGCUACCAAGUACUGCUAGGAUUCAUCCUGUCUUCCAUGUGUCACUACUAAAGAAGAGGAUUGGACCAAUGAUUAUUCCUCAGCAACAACUGCCAAUACUUGGGGAAGGACAUAUGCUAGUUAGGCCUAUAGCCAUCCUACAUAGGAGAAUGGUGAAGGAGAAUAAUGCAGUGGCAGUUAAGGUGCUAAUUCAGUGAGAGAACCUUUCACCGGAAGAGGCGACCUAGGAAGAUUGGUCCUUUAUUAAGACCCAAUUGCCAGAGUUCUUGCAACAAUCUCAACAUCAUCCUUGAGGGAAAGAAUGAACUGAAGGAGGGUGGCAUGUAAUGUGCUGAGAGUAAACUAGUAAAAGAAGAGUUUAAAAGUUGUUAGCGACGUGGACAGAUCAGAUUAAUUUCAACCAAAGGCUGAUAUCAAGCCCAUUAGAAUGUAUGACACUAUCUCAGUGCAGGAGGGGUUUCAACGAAUUUGGUACGUCUCCUCUCUCUAUUUCGUGCUCUUUCUCUCUCUAUACUUCCUAUCUCCUCUAAAUUUGAACCUUUCUUCUCUCCUAAAUUCUUCUUUUCUCUAUAAAAUUCUGAAGCAAUCCAGUUUAAUAUAACAAUAGCCAUUUCUUAUCACCUAUGCUAACAGCUGCCUAUUGAACUCCAUUUCAGGUAUUUCUCUGGCUGUUCAAUUGAUUUCUCGGAGUUGAAUCAAGUCGAGUGGUGUUGAUUAAUCCUAGUUUCUGUUUCAGAUUUUUGUUGUAAUCGAACUUGUAAUUGUCUGGGCACUUAUGGCAUUCCUGAAGCUUAUGAAUGAUAAUUGUGACUCUGCGUUGCGGAGAUUUGGUUGAAAUUCCUAUUUUGUCUAUUUGUAAUUGUUGAGCACAUAACAAUGCAUAUAUAAAAUCCAGCAAGAAAGAAAUCCAAAAAACAGAAAAAAUAAAAAACUAACAAAUACACCAAAGUCCCAUUACCAACCUCAAAUGGUUCACCAAACAAAGGAAAAACUGAAAAAAAGGUCAUAGACAUACAUACAUCACAUGCCACAAAGAAGCUGGAAUCAAAAUGGAGAAAUUUGAAUUAAAAACCAGAAGCGAAAACGUUAAAUAUUAAGAGAAAAAAUUGAAAGGGGAUUCCUAUCAAUUGGAAGAGAGCAACAACUCAUAAGGAUUAGCGAAAAGUCAAAUUACCCUAGACUGGCCAAGAAGCAACAGAGCACACAGAGAGACGAAGGAAAGGGAAAGUAAGAAAGAAUGAACUGCAACGGUUUGUUCGUGCUUUGGGUUAAGC
rnacentral:lncRNA from 1 species